rnacentral:tRNA from 1 species
CUCCCCGUAGUUCAAUGGAUAGAAUAAACCCCUCCUAAGGGUUAGAUACAGGUUCGAUUCUUGUCGGGGAGGCCA